rnacentral:rRNA from 1 species
UACGUAGGGGGCGAGCGUUGUCCGGAGUUACUGGGCGUAAAGGGCAUGCAGGCGGUCUGGCGCGUUUUGUGUGACAGCGGGGGGCUCAACUCCCCGAGCAUGCGAAAGACGGUUGGACUUGAGGGCUCGAGAGGGACACGGAAUUCCGGGUGGAGUGGUGAAAUGCGUAGAGAUCCGGAGGAACACCAACGGCGUAGGCAGCGCCCUAGACGAGACCUGACGCUCAGGCACGAAAGCGCGGGGAGCGAACAGG